GUCGUAUUCACUUGGAUACGGUUGAACCAUGUAAACAAUACUCUUUGUGUGUAAAAUUUGGGAUAUUUUCUGUGUUUGAAGAGUUCUCGCUGUGCGCUGGUCGGCCAUCUUGAAAAAUAAAUUGUGAAGGUCGCUUUCCUGCGAGACGGCAGUUCAGAUGCAGUCGUCCUGUGUGUCAGAAAGCUGGUGAUCAAAAUGGUUGAAGGCAGUACCCAAGAAAGUACAUUUACAAAGUUGUGAGGAGUAACCUAGCCUAUAUAACCUGAAGCUCACCCAAUAUGCAGUGUGUUCUGCUCUGUCAAUAACAACUCUGUAUGGCUGGUCUGACCUCAGUGGAAGUUGUUCGUUUAAAUGGUUUCGGGACAUUGAAGUAAAACAACACGAGAAUGUCCCACCAAGAGUGAAGGGCUGCCUGUUUGCUUCAGAUUCCCAGUCCUCCUCGCUGAUGAUUUCUGAAGUCCUUACGCAGUCACCCCAGUCUUCAACCUCAGUUUGUACAGAUGAGAUGCCAUACACAGGGGAUCCGACAGAAGACAGCAGACAGAAUUCGUCGAUUUAUUUGAAAUGUCAUUGUUUAUUUGAAAAAAGAUACCUAUCCACA